UGCACAUAUGAUUUGGGCUGACAAUCCAGAUCUUAGCCGGAUGAUGCUAUAACCAUUAGGUCUUACUGGUUUUGGGCCAUACACGUAUGACGGGCCAUAGCCGAUAACGCCAAACCCUGAGGAAAACCUGCAUUGGCUGGUUUGGGCCUGACCUGGCCCUGACAAGUAGUGCGGACGUCCUCCUAGCCCGCCAAAAUCUUAGUUGGACUGGUAGAAAUUAAAAUAUCUACUGUACAUUUUACAACAAAUGCCAACAUAUGUGAGUUUAAUACAGCGCUAGAAUGAAUAAAAAAUAAUAAUGUGUAGUUCUAAAUUAUAUACUAAUUUCUUUUUAAGUUGGUCCAGUUCACAUUGGAUACAAAACACUCGUUUGUCCUCAGCCGGUUGCAAGCCAUAUUCUGCAUGUGUCAUUGUUUCCUUGAUUGAAUACAUCUCAAAUAUUCUGCACAAUGGCAACCUGUCCAGCUAAGCUUGCUUUUUUCAUAACAGACAUGAGUGACAGUGAGCCUGAGGAGAGGUCUGAUGAUGAGCAUAUCACACCAUGGGGGAAGAUUCCCUUAAAUCUCCCAGCUUUACCCCAUUCUUUCCCUCUCACUAAGUGUCAUAGUCCUGACCCAUCUGCCAUGCUCCAAGACCUUGGUGAAGGCAGGUCCUACACAAGUCUUAGCUUCCCUACAAGUUCCAGGCCUUCUCGAUUUUCUGCCCUGAACCAUAACCCUUCAGACACCAGCCCUCUGAUACUCCCUAAUGGAAGAAAUGGCCUACAGUUUAGCAGCCCAACUUACGCACCAGGAUACCAGGACACACAAGGGUUUACUGCUGCCAGUCUUCAGGACUGAAUAAACAGAACCUUCACCAAACCCAACUCUUCUUUGGCACUACGCUUUGCUGAGUGCCUGGGCACUGCAAUUAGCUGUGUUGUAUUGGCAAUACAGCUCCAGAAAAGAUUAA